GAUGAACGCUGGCUACAGGCUUAACACAUGCAAGUCGAGGGGAAACGACGGGGAAGCUUGCUUCCCCGGGCGUCGACCGGCGCACGGGUGAGUAACGCGUAUCCAACCUGCCUCUGACUGAGGGAUAACCCGUCGAAAGUCGGCCUAAUACCUCAUGGUAUCGUCUGCGGGCAUCCAACGACGAUUAAAGAUUUCAUCGGUCAGGGAUGGGGAUGCGUCUGAUUAGCUUGUUGGCGGGGUAACGGCCCACCAAGGCUACGAUCAGUAGGGGUUCUGAGAGGAAGGUCCCCCACAUUGGAACUGAGACACGGUCCAAACUCCUACGGGAGGCAGCAGUGAGGAAUAUUGGUCAAUGGGCGAGAGCCUGAACCAGCCAAGUAGCGUGCAGGAAGACGGCCCUAUGGGUUGUAAACUGCUUUUAUGCGGGGAUAAAGUGAUGGACGUGUCCCUCAUUGCAGGUACCGCAUGAAUAAGGACCGGCUAAUUCCGUG
rnacentral:rRNA from 1 species